rnacentral:rRNA from 1 species
UCGAGGGGUCCAGCAAUGGGCACCGGCGCACGGGUGAGUAACGCGUGGGAACGUACCUCUGGGUGCGGAACAACCAAGGGAAACUUUGGCUAAUACCGCAUAAUAUCUUCGGAUCAAAGAUUUAUCGCCUAGAGAUCGGCCCGCGUUGGAUUAGCUAGUUGGUGAGGUAAUGGCUCACCAAGGCUACGAUCCAUAGCUGGUCUGAGAGGAUGAUCAGCCACACUGGGACUGAGACACGGCCCAGACUCCUACGGGAGGCAGCAGUAAGGAAUAUUGGACAAUGGGGGCAACCCUGAUCCAGCCAUGCCGCGUGAGUGAUGAAGGCCUUCGGGUUGUAAAGCUCUUUUAGAUGUGACGAUGAUGACGGUAGCAUCAGAAAAAGCUCCGGCUAACUUCGUGCCAGCAGCCGCGGUAAUACGAAGGGAGCGAGCGUUGUUCGGAAUCACUGGGCUUAAAGCGUACGUAGGCGGAUUUACAAGUCAGGAGUGAAAUCCCAGGGCUUAACCCUGGAAUUGCUUUUGAAACUGUAAGUCUGGAAUCCGGUAGAGGUUGGCGGAACUCCGAGUGUAGAGGUGAAAUUCGCAGAUAUUCGGAAGAACACCAGUGGCGAAGGCGGCCAACUGGACCGGUAUUGACGCUGAGGUACGAAAGCGUGGGUAGCAAACAGGAUUAGAUACCCUGGUAGUCCACGCCUUAAACG